AUUGAACGCUGGCGGCACGCCUUACACAUGCAAGUCGAACGGCAGCACGGGUGCUUGCACCUGGUGGCGAGUGGCGAACGGGUGAGUAAUACAUCGGAACGUACCUUAUCGUGGGGGAUAACGCAGCGAAAGCUGUGCUAAUACCGCAUACGCCCUGAGGGGGAAAGCGGGGGAUCGAAAGACCUCGCGCGAUUAGAGCGGCCGAUGCCUGAUUAGCUUGUUGGUGGGGUAAAAGCCCACCAAGGCGACGAUCAGUAGCUGGUCUGGGAGGACGAUACGCCACACUGGGACUGAGACACGGGCCAGACUCCUACGGGAGGCAGCAGUGGGGAAUUUUGGACAAUGGGGGCAACCCUGAUCCAGCAAUGCCGCGUGAGUGAAGAAGGCCUUCGGGUUGUAAAGCUCUUUUGUCAGGGAAGAAACACCGGCUCUAACACAGUCCGGGAAUGACGGUACCUGAAGAAUAAGCACCGGCUAACUACGUGCCAGCCGCCGCCGUAA
rnacentral:rRNA from 1 species